rnacentral:rRNA from 1 species
CAAUAGCGUAUAUUAAAGUUGUUGCAGUUAAAAAGCUCGUAGUUGGAUUUCUGGAUGGAGCGACCGGUCGGGCAUUAAUUUGUCUGCACUGGAGUCGGUUCCGUCCAUCCUCUUGGAAAGUGCGUCGGGCAUUAAGUUGUUUGGCGUAUGAUCCAAGUCGUUUACUGUGAAAAAAUUAGAGUGUUUAAAGCAGGCCUUCGCCUUGAAUACAUUAGCAUGGAAUAAUAAGAUAGGACUUUGGUCUAUUUUGUUGGUUUGCAGACCGAAGUAAUGAUUAAUAGGGAUAGUUGGGGGUAUUUAUAUUCCGAUGUCAGAGGUGAAAUUCUUAGAUUUUCGGUAGAUAAACUUAUGCGAAAGCAUUUACCAAGGAUGUUUUCAUUAA